rnacentral:rRNA from 1 species
CGGGUCUAAUACUGGAUACUACCUCUCAUCGCAUGGUGGGGGGUGGAAAGGGUUUUACUGGUUUUGGAUGGGCUCACGGCCUAUCAGCUUGUUGGUGGGGUAAUGGCUCACCAAGGCGACGACGGGUAGCCGGCCUGAGAGGGUGACCGGCCACACUGGGACUGAGACACGGCCCAGACUCCUACGGGAGGCAGCAGUGGGGAAUAUUGCACAAUGGGCGAAAGCCUGAUGCAGCGACGCCGCGUGAGGGAUGACGGCCUUCGGGUUGUAAACCUCUUUCAGUAGGGAAGAAGCGCAAGUGACGGUACCUGCAGAAGAAGCGCCGGCUAACUACGUGCCAGCAGCCGCGGUAAUACGUAGGGCGCAAGCGUUGUCCGGAAUUAUUGGGCGUAAAGAGCUCGUAGGCGGUUUGUCGCGUCUGCUGUGAAAGCCCGGGGCUCAACCCCGGGUCUGCAGUGGGUACGGGCAGACUAGAGUGCAGUAGGGGAGACUGGAAUUCCUGGUGUAGCGGUGAAAUGCGCAGAUAUCAGGAGGAACACCGAUGGC